AGAGCGAACGCUGGCGGCAGGCUUAACACAUGCAAGUCGAGCGGGCGUAGCAAUACGUCAGCGGCAGACGGGUGAGUAACGCGUGGGAACGUACCUUUUGGUUCGGAACAACACAGGGAAACUUGUGCUAAUACCGGAUAAGCCCUUACGGGGAAAGAUUUAUCGCCGAAAGAUCGGCCCGCGUCUGAUUAGCUAGUUGGUGAGGUAACGGCUCACCAAGGCGACGAUCAGUAGCUGGUCUGAGAGGAUGAUCAGCCACAUUGGGACUGAGACACGGCCCAAACUCCUACGGGAGGCAGCAGUGGGGAAUAUUGGACAAUGGGCGAAAGCCUGAUCCAGCCAUGCCGCGUGAGUGAUGAAGGCCCUAGGGUUGUAAAGCUCUUUUGUGCGGGAAGAUAAUGACGGUACCGCAAGAAUAACGCCCGGCUAACUUCGCGCCAGCAGCCGC
rnacentral:rRNA from 1 species